rnacentral:rRNA from 1 species
UACGAAGGGGGCUAGCGUUAUUCGGAAUCACUGGGCUUAAAGGGUGCGUAGGCGGCGCGGAAAGUUGGGUGUGAAAUCCCUCGGCUCAACCGAGGAACUGCGCCCAAAACUACCGUGCUCGAGGGAGAUAGAGGUGAGCGGAACUUAGGGUGGAGCGGUGAAAUGCGUUGAUAUCCUAAGGAACACCGGUGGCGAAAGCGGCUCACUGGAUCUCUUCUGACGCUGAGGCACGAAAGCUAGGGGAGCAAACAGG